rnacentral:rRNA from 1 species
UGAGUAACUGUGCUCCUGGACUGUAUUGCCGGUUUUCCUUGGUUUGCCUUCACCGGUAGGCCUUGGUGGCUGGCGUGUUUACCUUGAAUAAAUUAGAGUGCUCAAGACAGGCGUUUCGCUUGUAUAUCCGUGCAUGGAAUAAUGGAACAGGACUUCGGUUCAUUCUGUUGGUCUUAGAACCGAUGUAAUGGUUAAGAGGGACUGACGGGGGCAUCCGUAUCGCUGCGUGAGAGGUGAAAUUCUUGGACCGCAGCGGGACGUCCAACUGCGAAAGCAUUUGCCAAGAAUGUCUUCAUUAAUCAAGAACGAAAGUCAGAGGAUCGAAGGCGAUUAGAUACCGCCCUAGUUCUGACCGUAAACGAUGCCAACUAGCGAUCAGGUGCUGAUAGUUUAGUCGCGCCUGGGAGCUUCCCGGAAACGAAAGUUUUCGGGUUCCGGGGGUAGUAUGGUUGCAAAGCUGAAACUUAAAGGAAUUGACGGAAGGGCACCACCAGGAGUGGAGCCUGCGGCUUAAUUUGACUCAACACGGGAAAACUCACCCGGCCCGGACACUAGUAUGAUUGACAGAUUGAUAGUUCUUUCCUGAUUUGGUGGUUGGUGGUGCAUGGCCGUUCUUAGUUGGUGGAGUGAUUUGUCUGGUUUAUUCCGAUAACGAACGAGACUCUAACCUGCUAAAUAGUUUCCCGGUAGCAUAGCCGGCUGAAACUUCUUAGAGGGAUCAGUGG